rnacentral:sRNA from 1 species
CCCCACCCAAGCCCCCGCGCCUCUACCUCCCCCAGGAGCCAACAUCCGAGGAGACUCCGCGCACCAAACGUCCCCAUAUGGAGGCUAGGACUCGACGUGGGCCAUCUCCACCAGCCUCCCCCACCAGGAAACCCCCUCGGCUUCAGGACUUCCGCUGCUUAGCUGUGCUGGGCCGGGGACACUUUGGGAAGCCUGUACUGCGAGAAGCGGAUCCUGGAGGCUGUGGGCCGCACAGGGCACCCUUUCCUGCUCUCCCUCCUUGCCUGCUUCCAGACCUCCAGCCAUGCCUGCUUUGUGACUGAGUUUGUGCCUGGUGGCGACCUCAUGAUGCAGAUCCACGAGGAUGUCUUCCCCGAGCCGCAGGCCCGCUUCUACGUGGCUUGUGUUGUCCUGGGGCUGCAGUUCUUACACGAGAAGAAGAUCAUUUACAGGGACCUGAAGUUGGAUAACCUUCUGCUGGAUGCCCAGGGAUUCCUGAAGAUUGCAGACUUUGGACUCUGCAAGGAAGGGAUCGGCUUCGGGGACCGGACUAGCACCUUCUGUGGCACCCCGGAGUUCCUGGCUCCUGAGGUGCUGACCCAGGAGGCGUAUACACGGGCUGUGGACUGGUGGGGGCUGGGUGUGCUGCUCUACGAGAUGCUGGUGGGUGAGUGCCCGUUCCCAGGGGACACAGAGGAAGAGGUGUUUGACUGCAUUGUUAACAUGGACGCCCCCUACCCCGGCUUUCUGUCAGUGCAAGGGCUUGAGCUCAU